rnacentral:rRNA from 1 species
AUUGAACGCUGGCGGCAUGCCUAACACAUGCAAGUCGAGCGGAGCGGCGGACGGGUGAGUAAUGCCUAGGAAUCUGCCUCGUAGUGGGGGAUAACGUCCGGAAACGGGCGCUAAUACCGCAUACUAUCAGAUGAGCCUCGGUGGGUUUAGCUAGUGGUUGGGGUAAAGGCCUACCAAGUCGACGAUCCGUAACUGGUCUUAGAGGAUGAUCAGUCACACUGGAACUGAGACACGGUCCAGACUCCUACGGGAGGCAGCGGUGGGGAAUAUUGGACAAUGGGCGAAAGCCUGAUGCAGCCAUGCCGCGUGUGUGAAGAAGGUCUUCGGAUUGUAAAGCUCUUUAAGUUGGGAGGCGGUACCAACAGAAUAAGCACCGGCUAACUUCGUGCCAGCAGCCGCGGUAAUUC